AUUGAACGCUGGCGGCAGGCCUAACACAUGCAAGUCGAACGAGUGGCGGACGGGUGAGUAAUGUCUGGGAAACUGCCUGAUGGAGGGGGAUAACUACUGGAAACGGUAGCUAAUACCGCAUAACAUCAGAUGUGCCCAGAUGGGAUUAGCUUGGGGGUGGGGUAACGGCGCACCAAGGCGACGAUCCCUAGCGGGUCUGAGAGGAUGACCAGCCACCCUGGAACUGAGACACGUGCCAGACUCCUACGUGAGGCAGCAGUGGGGAAGAUUGCACAAUGGGCGCAAGCCUGAUGCAGCCAUGCCGCGUGUAUUAAGAAGGCCUUCGGGUUGUAAAGUACUUUCAGCGGGGAGGCGUUACCCGCAGAAGAAGCACCGGCUAACUCCGUGCCAGCCGCCGCGGUAAUUC
rnacentral:rRNA from 1 species